UGGGAUUAAACAGUGAACCAGCCCCUUUUUAAUCCAUCCCUGAUAGGUCACGGGUGCUGAGGAGGAAGUUAGACCCUGGGACAACCUUGACGACUUCUUCCUGGUGUGGACCCCAGAGCUGUGCUCAGAACGGUGCAAACAACGUAAAUGCUCUGCCAACAGCUGAUCCACUGUAUGGUUUUCGGAUGAUGACAAGGGAAAGGCUCACCUCUGAGAUCUCCAUCUGCAGUUGACGGAAUCCCCACAUGCAGAACCCUGGAGUCAACCCCUGGCUGACCCUGUAUACCUGCACGUUCACCUUAAGCUUGUAGCUUGCAGUUUUUCUCUGUUUAUUUAAUUUGACAAGUAUUAAAUCUGCGCUCCAUAAAACAGA